rnacentral:misc_RNA from 1 species
AUCUCGUCCACGAAGGACCUGACGUUCCGGUCGGCCCCGCGCCUCGCCUCCGGCGUCACGACGCGCUCCCGCAGCGCCCAGACCUUCUCCUGCAGGUGGCCGCCGUCGUCCAUGACCCUCUCGACGCCGGCCCUGACGUCGUCGCGCAUCAUGCCGCCGAGCCUGAGCCCGAUCUUCCACAGGCCGGUGAUGUAGGCGCAGUUGAUGAACUGGUCCCCGGAGACCGGGUAGCAGAGCAGGCGCACCCCGUGCUGGAUGGCCUCGAGCGUGGAGUUCCAUCCGCAGUGGGUGAGGUAGCAGCCGACGGCGGCGUGGCGGAGCACGUCCUGCUGCGGCGCC